UCAUAUGGGCAGCAGAUUAUCAAAGCUCUGACCAAUUUCCAAUGUCUCCGUCAUGGAAAAAGCCAAACCAUUCCAAGCGUGCAGGAUUUCUCACAGCACUAAAUUCAAACAUGAAACUGCCGCUGGCUGCAGGGCUCAGUUUAAGCCAGCCUGAUCUGGGGAAACAUAAAGCGUCGGGUCGGUUCCCAAAACAACGGCGGAGUUUGACAUUCGAGCCAGGGGGGGCAGAAACAAAUAAUAAUUGUAGCAGCGGAGACCUGGCCUACCACUUGGGGAACACAGCAUGAGCACAUAUGGAGAAAACAAACAUGCUAAAUAAAGAUAAUUACAUUGUAA